GGUUAAAACAUAGCAAUUAAAAGACACAGAUGGGUAGGUUUUUAAAUCAAUCUAACAGUGUACUUUUUACCAGAAGAUGACUUUAAAUAUUAAUGGUAAAGACAGAUUAGAAGCUAAAAGGAUGAGAAAAUAUAUCAUGCUAACACUAAAAAAAAAAAUUGAGUGUCUAUAUUAAGAAGAAAAAAGGGAGGGAAAUUUCCAGAGAUGUCCUUCAGUAAGGGAAAGGAUGAACUGAUACAUCCAUACAAUCCAAACAUAUUAUUCAGUGUUAAAAAGAAAUGAGCUGUCAAGCUACAAAACAAAACAAAACAAAACAAAAACAAACAAAAACUAAAAACCUUUAGAAAACCAUGGGGAGACCUUAAAUGUGUAUUACUGAAUGAAAAAAACCAAUCUGAGAAGGCUGCGUACUGUGUGAUUCCAACUGUAUAACAUUGUAGAAAAGGCAAAGCUUUGGGUAUGGUAAAAGGAUUAGUGGUUGCCAGGAUUUUGGGGGGAUAAAGGGAAGAAUGAAUAGAGGGGGUGCAAAGGA